UUUAACAAUGAGACCAUCAGGAGUCUUUGCAAAUUUAAGUACUUACUGAAGCUUUUGGUCCCUGUGCUUCUGCCAGCUCUUCCAUUUCAGCCAGGACUUUAUGGCAGAUUUUACUUAUUCCCACUUGUUUGCAUGUCAGACCAGUUCCAGGAGGGAUGUGAUGGGAAGGAUUUUGUGAUUUUAGAUGAAAUUCUUGCUAGAAGGAGCUCCAGCACCAAGGAACACUGUUCAUCCUGGGACAAUGAGUGUCCAGGCAGAGAAAAUCCUCCCCUGGCCUGGGCUGCAUGGAACCACAGCAUCAGCCAUGGGAAGAUGCAGAUGAAAGAAGAGGAAAACCCAUGUUUCACUCACUCCAGAAGCAUCAGGAGACCCGGAAUCAUCAUCCAGACUCCAGCUUUAGAGCAGCUUCCCAAUGUUCCUAUCAGCACUUCAGUUUGUGUUCAUCAACACGAUGCCAUACAUCCACCUUUCCCACCAGGAUCUGCUCUCUUAGCCAGGAAAAUCAUCCUCACACACCAGCAUUCCCUGCAGGUGUUUGCAAAAUGAAGAGCUGAGUGCCAGAGGUGAGGAUCCAGUGGCUCAAACAAAGUGAGAUUUGGGCCAAAGAACCCUCCUGAUCCUGCUGCUGUGGCUCCUUCCUGCAUGCCAGGACCAUCACCACCUCUCCCCAUGUUUGAUGGGCACAGGGACUCA